UUUGUUUUCCCUCCAUCCGAAAAUACUUAUCAUUGAAAUGUAUCUAGAUGUAUUUUAGUUCUACAUACAUCAAUUUUCAUCCAUUUUGAUGACAAGUAAUUCCGGACGGAGGGAGUAGUAU
rfam:Triticum aestivum genome assembly, contig: Triticum_aestivum_CS42_TGACv1_scaffold_225344_3B